rnacentral:rRNA from 1 species
AUUGAACGCUGGCGGCGUGCUUAACACAUGCAAGUCGAGUGCGCGUUUCGUAGCAAUACGGGAUGGCGCACGGCGCACGGGUGAGGAACACGUGGGCAACAUGCCCUCUGAUGGGGAAUAACCCCGCGAAAGCGGGGCGUAAUACCGCAUAAGAUUCCGGGGACCUCGGUCCCUGGACUGAAAGCCCGCAAGGGCGUCGGAGGAGUGGCCCGCGGCCGAUUAGCUUGUUGGCGGGGAACGGCCCACCAAGGCAAUGAUCGGUAGCCGGUCCUGAGAGGAUGAUCGGCCACACUGGAACUGAGACACGGUCCAGACUCCUACGGGAGGCAGCAGUGGGGAAUCUUGCACAAUGGGCGAAAGCCUGAUGCAGCAACGCCG